AAAAAAAAAAAAAAAAAGAAGUACUAUGUCGCAUGGCGAUUUUUAAGCAAGCUUAGUAAGGUGAUUGCUCUCAUGAAGCUAUUUUUAAGGCUUAACUUUAAAAUAUAUUCCUAUUUUGAAAGGGAUUAAUAAGAUAAAUGAAAAUUAUAAGUUAAUGAGUUUUAAUUCAAAUGGUAUUGAAUCGUUUUAAAGUUGUAAUAAGAUUUCAGUUUGAGUAAUGUAGAUAUUAUUCUAGUGGGCUGUGUUGAACUCAAAACAAAGGAUUAAAGAUAUAUACUCGAAUUCCUCAUCAUGACUUGAUUAAUAAGAGUUCCAGUAAAUUCUAAGUCCACAAACCAAAACAAUUUUUUUUAAAAAGUUGAUGCUUGUGAUUUUCAAAUUGAAUAAUUGUGAUAGCUAAAAGAUUUGCCUAAGAUUUAUUAAUUCCUUCACUGAAAUGAAAUUAUGAUAUGUGGGAAUGAGUGUAAGAGAUGAAAGAGGGAUCCCUUCCAUUAUAAAGCCACAAACAAAAGCGCCCACGUGAACCCAAAAGCUGUCAGCUAAUUUCCACCAUAGCAAAGGAACAAAACAACACAUAACAUCACUUGCCACUAUAACCCACG
rnacentral:misc_RNA from 1 species